UGGAGGUUCCCAGGCUAGGGGUCUAAUCAGAGUUACAGCUGCCAGCCUACACCACAGCCACAGCAACGCAGGAUCUGAGCUGUCUGUGUCUGUGACCUACACCACAGUUCAUGGCAACGCCAGAGCCUUAACUCACUGAUUGAGGCCAGGGAUUGAACCCGAAACCUCAUGGUUCCUAGUUGGAUUUAUUUCUGCUCAGCCACAAUGGGAACUCCUCUUUGUCCUUUAUUAUUCAUUUUUUUCUGGACAAGGUGCUAAAACACCUUGGACCAAUUUGUAUACCUUUCUUAAAAUAGGAAUCAGUCAAAACACUACACUGUGGAGUUCCCCUCGUGGUUCAGUUGUUAACGAAUCUGACUAGCAUCCAUGAGGACGCAGGCUCGACCCCUGACCUUGUUCAGUGGGUUAAGGAUACGGUGUUGCCAUGAGCUGUGGUGUAGGUCACAGAUGUGGCUCGGAUUCUGCAUUGCUGUGGCUGUGGUGUAGGCCGGCGGCUACAGCUCCGAUUAGACCCCUAGCCUGGGAAUCUCCAUAUGCUGUGGGUUCGGCCCUAAAAAAAACAAAACAAACAAACAAAAAACCACUCAGGAACCUCCUGGGGGAUCAAGUAUGGGAAUUGACUGGGAAGUGAUGCAAGGAAACUUUCUGGGUUUGGUGAUGAUCUGUAUCUUGACAGAGGUUUGGGUUACAUGGUUUAGACAUUUGCCAAAACUCAUGAAAUGAUAUAUAAAAGAUUUGCGCAUUUCACUGUAUUUCAGCUUCAUCCAAAAAAGAGAAAACAUGUAUUGAACUCUAGUUAAUGAUAUUCAGGUUGAAGUGUUGAAAGAUGAAGUGUAAGAUGCCUACAACUUACUUUGAAAAAAAAGGAUGGAUUGAUAGGUGGAUAGAAGGGUGAAGAGGUUGAUAGUCCUAUAAUGCAGCAAACACAAUAUAAUGUUAAUGGUAGAAUGACAUGAGGUGAGUACAUGAGUACAUUUCUGUAUGCUUGAAAUUUUUCAUAAUAAAAUAUUGGAAAAGAAAGACCAGGAGUUCCCGUCGUGGCUCAGUCGUUAACAAAUCCAACUAGAAACCACGAGGUUGCAGGUUCGAUCCCUGGCUUUGCUCAGUGUGUUAGGGAUCCGGCCUUGUCAUGAGCUGUGGUGUAGGUUGCAGACAUGGCUUGGAUCUGGCAUUGCUGUGGCUGUGGCAUAGGCAGACAGCAAUAGCUCCGAUUAGACCCCUAGCCUGGGAACUUCUAUAUGNCCAAAAAACUUCUGACAACAACAAAAUAAGACUGAAGAAGUAUUGGUUUCUUAGGGCCACCAUAACAAACUACAACAAACAGGGUAACUUCUUCACAUGCUAGCUUGAGCCUGCAAGCAUGAGGGUUCCGUGAAUCAGGUGAUGGCCUUUUAUGUCCAGCCUUGGAAGUCACAGGGCAUUACUUCCUCUAGGCUGCAGGGGCCAAGUCAUCACCAGCCCAUCCAGAUUUAAGGGAAUAGGACAGAGAGAGCCCCCACCUCAAUGUGAGAGCCGUCUGAGAAUUUGCAGUCCUGUUUUAAAGCCAACACACCCAGCUAGAGGGACGUUAUCUGCCACCUAGCCUGUUGUCUCGUCCUCAGCAAGGAGAAGGAGAAAGAAGUUUCUCAUCUCCACAUUGACCAAGGGAAAAAUGAAGUCAGGUCCUCACUCAGAGCACACACUGCUCUGUGACCUGCUUUCCCCCCAAGGCAUCAAGGGCGUCCUCUGGUACAAGCCAGAGCUGGGAGAACCAACCGAUACCGGGUCACAUGGCACAUGGCGCUGGACACCUCUACAGCGGACUCUCCCCCUCCUUGCCCCAUCCCCGUCCCUGAGCUUUUGACUUUGGGUGUCCCACCCACCCUUCUACGCGGUCCUUCCCAUCACCACUCAGCCCAGACCUCCCGUCCUUGGUCUCGAGACAGAAUGAACUCUCUCGCUUGGGGACAAUGGAAGCCUUUGUCAUCUUUUCCUUCUUCGGGUGGCCCAGCGUCUGUAUGAGAAUCCAGAUUACCCUCUCAGGCUGUGCUGGCGAUUACCUCCAAGAAUCUCUUCACCCCACCCUCUCCUCGCAGGCUGGGGGUGAGUUGGGGCUGCACAAAGGGAAGAAUGUUAUCACGGUAAACCAGGACGGGCCCGGCUUGGCUCUGUUGCAGAAAACACACUUCACUCAUGCAGAACACGCCAAAUUGAAAAGAUUGUGGGUUAAUCAAAUCCUUUUCUCCUCUGUUUUUAUCAAACUCAAGAGGGGCUGGCCUAUUAAUUAGAAACGCUUUUUCAUGUAAAACAUGGGCGCUUUGGAGAUAAGGAGGGAAGACCCUUGAUUCUACAGUCACAAUGAUGUUUCAGUUAUUUCAUUAUAAGCGCCAAGUUCACUGCUGGCCCCAUGCAUGCCGUGCAGACCUCCCAUCAUUCUCGUGGAAAAACUCCCUGAGACUCAGGAAGUUCACUGGCCAGCAGAUGAGGGCAAGAGAGUUUCUUUUUCUGAAGUCACAAUGCACUGAAGACCUCGCUUUUCUAUACGGUGCUACCAGAAAAAUUUAACAGGCUUUUAUUCUGUGUUAUCCAGUUACAGCCCUGCCAACUUCGUGGGGCUAUUUAAAUUUCAAUUAAUUACAAUGAAAAAUUCAAUUGCUCAGUCCACUAGCUGCAUUUCAAGUGCUCAGUAGCAGCAUUGGCUAGGGGCUUCUCCACCGGAUGACAGAGAUAGAGAAUAUUUCCGUCAUUACAGAAAGUUCUAUUGGGCAGCACUGCUUCUUUCAACAAGCUCACAAAGCAUCCCAUUUGUCUACUAGGAAAAACCAAAACCUACUAUAUUUCUGUAGCGACACUUGUUGGUUCUCCUUGCCCAGCACCUUGGCCUUGGUUCAAUUAUGUUGGCCCAAUAGAUGUAAACUCCAUGACUUUGACUGGAAUUGAUGGGAAGGGGGUGCCCUGCUGGGGAUAUAAACCAAGAACUGCAAGGGGCCAUCAUACUUUAUCCUAGAGAGAGUUGGCCUGCAAAUGACUUCAUUCCGGAAGAAAGCAGAGAGAAGGUGAAAGAGAGUCUAACUGUUGACAUGGUAGACCUCUUGGAUCCAACUGUGUUUGAUGGCAGAUCUAGCCCUAAACUUCUGAUCACAUGAAACUAUUAACACCUUGGUACUAAUGAUUCAUCCAAACCCUCUUCCAAAUUAUCAUGCUUAUGUCUAUUUGAACGGGUGCUGUCACAACCAAAAGUAUUCUGAUUUAUGUAUGUUCUGAGAAUGGUCAUCCAUAUACAAAGGGAAAGGAAGCUAUUUUUUCCUCUACUGACACAUUUCUAUCUCAAACAAUUAUUAAGAUCCGUUUCAUGUGAUAGAAGGGUAUCAGUCCCAGAUGAGCUUCCUGUUCCUACCUGGCUCCAGACAGGCCGUUUCUGGAUCAUGAAGCUCCCUGACCCAGGAGAACCAGUUCCAUAGGCUGAGGCUACACCAAGCUGAUUCCCUCUUUUUUAAGAAUUUGGAUGAAGUGGAAACAAAGAUUGAGUUGAUGAUGGAGUCAUAUCAGUGAGAGCACAAGACUGAAAGGCCAUGCACUGUGGCUGCUGAGAAACCUCAAGUUGUUCUGCUCUCACCCUGCCUGAGGCCCAUGUCCUUUUAAUAAACCACCUUUAACUUGAGCUAGUUCAAGUUUGUGUCUAUUUCUGACAACCAAAUAUGCCUGGUUAAGAGAGUAUCAAAAGCCUGCAAGGCCUUUUAUUUGGGCCAAGCAAUUCUAUUUCUAGGAAUUUACUGCUAGAAAAUAAUCAAAGUAUGUAUACAAAGAUUUAGCUGUGAGGCUAUUAAGGGCAGUGCUCUUUAUCUUUGUAAGAAGUUGGGAAGAACCUAUAUAUAAUGGGAAGUUUGGACAUCAUUUAAGUUUGGCUUUAUAAGUUAUUUUAAUUGUUAUUGUUUUAUUGAAGUGUGGUUGAUCUACCAUGUUCCAGGUAUACAGCAAAAUGAUUCAGUUACACACACACACACACACACGCACACAUAUAUCUUUUUUCAGAUUCUUUUCCAUUAUAGGUUAUUACAAAAUACUGAAUAGGGGUUUCCAUUGGGGCUCAGUGGGUUAAGAACCUGACUAGUAUCCAUGAGGAUGCAGGUUCGAUCCCUGGCCUUGCUCAGUCGGCUAAGGAUCUGGCGUUGCCACAAACUGUGGUGUAGGUUGCAGACACAGCUCAGAUCCCACAUUGUCGUGGCUGUGUUAUAGACCAGCAGUUCCGAUUCAACCCCUAGCCUGGGAGCUUCCAUAGGCCUCUAGUGCUGCCCUAAAAAAGGAAAAUAAUACUAAACAGCAAAAUAAGUACCAGGGGGCUCUAAAAAUCUUGUAGUCCAUGUUUUGUUUUGUUUUAUUUUUUUCAGAGAAGGAUAAACAUUUAAAUUAUUUCAAACAUUUGGAGCAUCUGCUUUGCUGGAGCCUUACACAUGAACUACGUUUUUCCAUAAUGGUCGGGAGAAUGUUCCAGACAGGGAACAGCAAGUGCAAAGGCUCAGAGGCAGAGUGAGCAUAGCUUUUAGUCCUGUGAGUGGUGGAACCAUAGCCUGUGAGAGGAGAGUGUCCAGGUAUGGAGCUGGACAGGUCAGCAAGGCCCAGUUAAGAAGGGACUUGGAGGUCAUUUGAGGAGUUUCAACCUGAUUGUCAAGGCCAUGCAAAGUCAUUGAAAGGGUUUAAGCUGGGAAAUGACAUGUUACAGUAUUUUUUAAAAGACUUUCUUUCAGAGUUAACAAAAUGAGAUAUUAUUAGCCAGAGUGGCUAGGGAAAUUGCUUUAAAAAAAAACCCACAGGCACAAUUUUUAACUUGACAGUGUUUCGCAGACAUUCUGGAGCCUUUAAAAAAAAAUUCAUUAUGCUGACACUAACUAUCAAACCCCAUUCCCUUGAGCUCAGCUGUGUUGUAGCUGAAAACUUGUUCUAUAUGUUUACACAGCACCCAAUUUUCCAAAUCUCUGCAAAUUUGCCCUUAACAGUAAAAUACUGGGUACAGACCAUCUACCCACUCCACCCCAAUUAUCCUCCUUGGUGUGUGCUGAUGCUGUGAUUGUUGUUAUGAUGGAAAAGAUUGGAGCCAUGUCUUAUUUAUAAGCCUCUCUGGAGGAACCCAUGGGAAUUUUAUCCUUU
rnacentral:lncRNA from 1 species